rnacentral:lncRNA from 1 species
AAAGGAUCAUCACGGAAGAUAGUAAUCAAUUCAUUCAAGAUCGGUGCACAGAUCAUCUCCCUUUAGGAUAGAUGAGUCUCAAGUCUGUAGUAUAAAGACGCUGGGGUGAGAAUGUAGGUGGUUGUUAAAGAACAACUUGUAUUGAGUGUGACCAACACGAGAAACCACUUGGAUAUCUACUCACUCGUCAGUGGUCUUCUCAAUGUUGUAGUGGUGUGACUG